rnacentral:rRNA from 1 species
GGCGGCAAGAAGCCCCGAUAUGCGUUCGGGAGCAUCUCCGACUACGAGAAGCUUGAGGUGCUUGGAGAAGGCACCUACGGCCAGGUGCUCAAGGCGCGCGACCGCCGCACCGGCAAGAAAGUCGCCGUCAAGUGGGUCCACGGCAACAGGGCCGGCGGACACGGCCCGCCCGACAUCCGCGCGAUCACCCGCGAGGCCGGCUGCCUCGGCGCGUGCCGGAGUCACGAGUCGAUUAUCGAGAUCUUGGAUGUGGCGACGGAUGCCGAGACAGGGGACGUGUUCCUCGUCAUGGAGCUCGUGGCCGACGGCCGCACCCUCCGCGAGUCACUCUGGAGGCCUGUAUCCGAGGACGUGACCCGCGUGAUGAUGGAGCAGCUCCUGGAUGCUGCAAAGAAGAUACAUGGAGCCGGCAUCAUCCAUCGGGACUUCAAGCUGGAGAACGUCAUGGUCGGCUUCUUCGGCGGGCUCAAGGUUGGUGACUUUGGGUCGGCGAUCCGGGCGAAGCCGGCCGGAGUGCCCUAUGAGGAGUGCUGUGUCGGCACCCUGAUUUACACAUCGCCGGAGCAGUUGGAAGGCAACCGAUACUACAGCCAGGCCGUGGACAUGUGGGCGCUUGGGUGCAUCAUGGCGGAGAUGUUGGCCGGCGGGACCCUCUUCGUGGUGGAGACAGAGGAGGAGCUGCUCGCCGAGAUUUACAAGUUGCGAGAUCAGAUCACUUCUACGGGGAAGCUCGACUUGGAGUUCUUCGAGGAGCUUUCGGAAGCCGGGCGUGAGGUCCUCACCGGCCUGCUUGCUUUCAACCCCGCCGAGAGGAUCACGGCGGCAGAAGCGCUCGAGCACCGGUGGUUCAGAAAGCCCAAAGGAGCAGAGCACCCUGGCUUUGUGUCGCUGAUAAGUUAA